rnacentral:rRNA from 1 species
CUUAAAUUUUUUUAAGGGACGAGAAGACCCUAUAGAACUUUAUUAAUUUUUUAACCCACACAAUUUUUUUUUUACUUGUGUGGGUUGUGAAUAUUAAUUAUGUUGGGGUGACACAAAAACUUAAUUAGCUUUCUUUUAUGUUGAUUCACAAAUUUGUGUGUUUUAAAGAUCCAGGUUGUCUUGAUUAUAAGUUUAAGUUACCUUAGGGAUAACAGCGUAAUUCUUUUGGAGAGUU